UAGAGCAGAUAUCACCUUAUCCGGGAUCCUCAUAUGGAUAACUGCGGAAAUACUGGAGCUAAUACAUGCAACUAUACCCCAACGCAAGGCGGGGUGCAAUUAUUAGAACAGACCAAACGUUUUCGGACGUUGUUUGUUGACUCUGAAUAAAGCAGUUUACUGUCAGUUUCGACUGACUCUAUCCGGAAAGGGUGUCUGCCCUUUCAACUAGAUGGUAGUUUAUUGGACUACCAUGGUUGUUACGGGUAACGGAGAAUAAGGGUUCGACUCCGGAGAGGGAGCCUUAGAAACGGCUACCACGUCCAAGGAAGGCAGCAGGCGCGAAACUUAUCCACUGUUGAGUAUGAGAUAGUGACUAAAAAUAUAAAGACUCAUCCUUUUGGAUGAGUUAUUUCAAUGAGUUGAAUACAAAUGAUUCUUCGAGUAGCAAGGAGAGGGCAAGUCUGGUGCCAGCAGCCGCGGUAAUUCCAGCUCUCCUAGUGUAUCUCGUUAUUGCUGCGGUUAAAAAGCUCGUAGUUGGAUCUAGGUUACGUGCCGCAGUUCGCAAUUUGCGUCAACUGUGGUCGUGACUUCUAAUUUGCUGGUUUGAGGUUGGGUUCGCCCUUCAACUGCCAGCAGGUUUACCUUGA
rnacentral:rRNA from 1 species